UUUACCACAGCUACUUUCCAUACAUUCAAAGCUGCUGCUGCCACUCAAAAGGCAGUACACUUCGGGAACCCACUGCUGAAGUCACUGCAGCACUCCAUGGUCCCAAGCCUGUGACUGGCAACAUGCAGUCCCAAUAUGUAGCCUGCACAUCUGCUGCUGCAGAGGAGGAAAGAAUGGUUUCCACCUCCUUUUCACCUCCUAGAUUUCAUGGCAGAACUCUGCUGUCAAGGGAAUCUGUGAAAUGUGGUUUGUGGGCUUCUAGCACCUGCAAAGAAAGGGAUAGAAGUGGGUAGCAAGAGCCAACCAAUACUAUCUAACAAAUGGGUGGGUGUUAAAGUCUUUCUAAAAGGAAGGUGUUGUCUACAUGGAGUAGUAACAUUGUGGAGAGCUAGCUAAGUCAGAAACACAAAAGGUGUCAUUUUAGCUGGGCAGCAGGUUAAGGUACCAGAUACUGGAUACCAAUCACAUGCAGUCAUCCCCAGAGGUGACUGGAGAAGCACUUGGAGUUGAUUCUUAGUUUGGCCUCCAGAAUGUUCUCACUGGAAUGAAAGCUGGAUGGACUAAUGGCAGUGAGGUAUCUGAGAAAACAUAGCCCCCAUUCAAAAGGGCUGCCAGAGGAAACGGUGCCCAUAGGGAAAUAGAGUUUCUAAAAAUGUGGCUUUGUUGGGAUCCCUGGGUGCGUCGGUGUUGACGCCUGCCUUCGGCCCAGGGCGCUGAUCCUGAAAAAUAAGCAAAUUAAUUUUAAAAGCUGAUCCUGAACAUCUCCCCUGUCAAAAACAAACCAAACCAGGCAUACUUAAAGUGGUCCAGACAGAUUUCCAAAGUAAUAGAAUAUUGCAGUGGCACAGGGAAAAGAGUUCAUCAUGAACAGAACUCAACUGGGAUAAGUACAGAGGUGACUGAGUAUUGCACAGGGAGAUUGAGGGACUAGGGAAGGGAAUGAGUAGGGGCUCCAUAGUCAGAAGCCAAAGAUUACAAAAGGCAGGAAGGGGGUUAGCCCAUAUGAAACCAUCUGGAUUUGCUAACUGGCACUUACCAAAGCUAGACUCCUACUCUCUCACAGAAACUGGGAAACAGGGGCCUUAUCUUCAGGUGGUGGCUGGAAUAAGCAACAAAUUCUUUAGACAGCCUUGAGUUUCACGGGCAGGCACUUUAAGGGAGACUGGGGUCUUACUAGGGCAGUGGUCAUGAGCUGCUGAAAACUACGUUAGUGUUUGUUCAAGUCUUCACAAGCCAAAUAAGGUUGAAUCAAGAAGAGGGCUCAGAGGAGCCUGGCUAGAGUUUAGAGAAAGAAUCUGUUACCAUUCAGAUGCCCACCCCUCCUGAGCUGAUUUCCAAAACAGAGGGACCAUUCUAACAAGACUGUUUAUGCUCACCAAACUACUGGCGUAGUUAGUGCAAAGAGAACCAGGAGGUGGAGCAGAGGUUCCCUGGCUUCUUCAGGACCAGAGGUCAGCAGGGAUUUGAGGGUGUGAGAGGCGGGCAAGACAGACUGAAGAUGACCAAAAGGCACGACUGAGAUUCUCACCCUUGGCGUCUCAAAGAGUCACACUGGCUGGCUGCUGCCACUAUGGAAAUCAGGGCCUCUCAGUCCUGGGAAGCGCCAGGCAUGACCAGCUCUGGCCCCUGAGGUCCUAGUCAGGGUGAGAUGUUGUUGAGACCUGGGCGACAGUGGUGGGGCACCCCCUGGGGGUGUGGGAGGAGGCACACCCAUUCAAGAAGAGGAAAGGUCCUGAGGUCUGAAGCAGAAGCAGGAAUGGUGCUUCAAGGUGAGCCUUAAUGUGUUCCAGUGUAGCACUGGAGAGGGGUCUGGCGCCACACUGUGGAGUGUUUCAGCUUACAGGGCCAAGGGAAAUGAAGACUUCAACCGGUGAACAAUACAAAGGCUUCAUGUAGAGAGGGCUACACCCUACAAUGGUGGAGCAGUAAAAUAGGAGGAGCCUGGCUCCCUGACACAUGAACCACCAAACUAGCCCUGGAUUACAGUACUUAACCAGAUCAUUAUAUGAGAGAUCAGUAAGCUUCUUUUUUAUUUAACCCACUGCUGUGUUGGGUCUCUACUACAGUGGCUGAACCUAUAGCCUAAUAAAGGUUAACCAAUAACGUUAUAACCAAUAACGUGUAUUGGUUAUCUUUCGCCACAACAAUGCUAACUAAUAAACCAUCCCCAAACUCAGUGAACUGGAAUACCGGUUCUCACAGGAUGGCUGGUCCAGCUGUACUUGAAUGCUCUGCUGGCUGGGUCAGCACUGCUUCUCCGUGCUAGUCUGCAGAUCAGCAGGGCUAGCUAGCUCUUUUCCACCUGGGUGGGCUCUGGGGCCCAGGCUGAAGAGGCAGCGGCAACCCGAGGGAAGCAUAUGAGGCCAACCAGAAACUUCAUUGGGCCUCUCCAAGCCUAGACACAGAACUGUCAUACUUUCAUUUCUGCCUAGUCCAUGGGUCCAAGUAAGUCACAUGGCCAAUCCCCGAGCCAGGGGACAGGAAAGUACACUCUGCCCACAGAGAGACACAGCAAGAGUGUGGGUGCAGGGAGGGCCAAUAAUCCUGUCUACUCAGGAUGUGACUGAGUCCUGGUUUAGAGACUACACACCAAGGCCCCGCUCUUCUAGGUGUCCCUGUAAAUGCAACAGAGUGAAAGAUAGCACCCAUCAAUGUGAAGGCCCCACCGCAGUUAUCUGUUAGGUCAGGAACCCUGACGAGGCAAGAAUCCCAUCUUCCUCUCCCCAAUGCCUAGUAGCGGACCCUGCCCACGUGAUGCCUCAGGGAUCUUACUGGAUGAAUUUUAGACCAUUUCUUCAUUCUCCACAUAUGAUUUCCUUAUGAAAUACAGACUGACCUCCUAAAGGUCAACACAUAGUACUAUGAGUUUGCCCCAUAGCCUGCAUAGGGACUGUGCCAUUAGGAGCAGGAAUUUGUACCUAGAUCCUGUCUACACCAAAAACUGUAUCCACUGCCUCCUACAGGGACCUCCAGAAGUAAGGGCUUCUACAAGUUAAACAUCAAAACAGGGUAGUGAGGGGAGCCUGGGUGGCUCAGUUGGUUGAGCGAUCUUACCUUAGGUCAUGAUCUCAGGGCCUGGGAUCAGCCUGUGUGGAGCUCUGCACUGAGUGGGGAGUUUCCUUGAGGAUUUUCUCUGUCCCUCUACCCCUCCCCUGACAUUCUCUCUCAAAAUACAUAAAUAAAUAAAUGAAUGAAUGGAUCUUAAACAACAGGGUAGUGAAAUUUCUUUCUCUAUAGGUCUUUUGAAACUGGAAAGAUUCUGAUUGCCUGAAAUAUCUUCAGAGGGAGGCUGUCAAAAGGCACGACUCUAGUGGGGGAUCUGCAUGGACUUGGGACAAUUUGAAGAACAGUGAAAUUGACCAUCAGAGCUCCCAUGGCUCCACAAGGUCCCUGGCCCCCUCAUCAUCUGUUUUGCUAGAUCUCAGGGCAAAAGCAGAACUGGCCCAAGAUGCUCUACCUUAAUGCUGCCUUUCCCUGCAGACUUCUCACUGCAAAGGAGAACCACUUGAAGAGAGCCAGGAUAAAUCCUAAAGAAUGCCACCAUCACCACUGAAUUCCAGACAUGGGCAUGUGGGUGGAAAAUAUAUUUUAGGGCAGUGACUCAUGGUAAGUUGCUUCCUCCAGUCCCUAAAUGGUACUAUUCAAUGUCAAGCUACCUCAGGCUCUGGCUGAUAAAAGCAGAGGGAGAGGGAACCUAGUGUCGUGAGCUGUGCUGGUCAGGAUACAUAUACAUAUACAUAUACAUAUACACAUCACAUACACAUACACAUACAUAUACAUAUACAUAUACACAUAUACAUACGUAAAUAUAUACAUACAUAUACGUUUUGUAUAACUUGCCCAAAUUUAUGAAGACCAUAUGUCUCAGUCACUGCUCUGUACGCUCCAAGUGAAAGAAAUCCAACUAAAAUAUGUUUGAACCAAAAAUGUCAUACAGUGAAUUAGCUUAUAUAACCAGGAAGCCUAAGUACUUAAAGCUGCCUGCAUCUAGGGUUCAAACAAGUCAUCUUCUCCCCAUCUAUCCCUCAACUGUGCUUUCCUUUGGCUUCAGGCUCUGAAGGACGCAGACUCCAAGACUGCAAACAUGGUCAUUCAUCAUUCUAACUCUACACCAAAGUAGAGAAAGCCCAUCCUCAAAAGUCAUCUUUUUGGGUUGCUUGGAGCUGUAUCUUGGAGGCGAACAAUAGUUACAUAAUCACAAUUCUGUAAACACUAUCAAUUAUCAGGAAAGAGUGGCAUAACUAAACCCCAAGAACGGACAGGGGUGUUAAAGAACUAACUCCUUGCCUGUGAUAUUAGGAAGUCCACAGACAGUGUCUAAAAUGGAUAAAUCCAAAGCUAGAAUUACCAAGAUAGGUGGGGAGAUAAGCACCAGAAGAUUCAGCUAGAAGUAAGCAUGCCCAGAGAGCUGGCUCAGGAGGGAAGGUGGGGAUGGUCAAGGGGAAGAAACUGCUGUGGGUCAUUAUGUUUCCUCACCAUUUGAUGUCAUACUAUUUGAACUGUAAACUAUAUAUAAUAAUAAUAACUAUUGGGGAAUUUUAAAAAUUCAUUAUUUUUGUCCAGCUUUAUUGAGGUAUAAUUGACAAAUUAAUAAUUAAAAAGAGAGCCAGGAUAAAUCCUAAAGAAUGCCACCAUCACCACUGAAUUCCAGACAUGGGCAUGUGGGUGGAAAAUAUAUUUUAGGGCAGUGAAGAUGACUAGCUAUAGGGCACCUAAUUCUAAUUGCCAUAUUUUAAAAGAGUGGGAAGAACCAACUUCCUACAACAGAAUCCAGGGGGAACAUUAGCUAUUCCACUUUUGAGAGAAAUGGUUGCAUUAGUCCUUGUUUGAUGACUUUAGUCAGCUGCCAAGUAAGGAUAUAUCUGGGGUUCAAAUAAGAAAGGCUCUCAAAAAAUGGAAAAAAAAAAAAAAGCUCCCA
rnacentral:lncRNA from 1 species